rnacentral:miRNA from 1 species
UAGUUCCUUCAAUACCAAUGUGUUCUAGUAAUAUGAAUUUUUAGUAAUAUGAAAUUCAUAUUACUAGAACACAUUGGUAUUGAAGGAACUAGAU